rnacentral:rRNA from 1 species
ACGAACGCUGGCGGCGUGCUUAACACAUGCAAGUCGAACGGAAAGGCCCUGCUUUUGUGGGGUGCUCGAGUGGCGAACGGGUGACUAACACGUGGGUAACCUGCCCUUGACUUUGGGAUAACUUCAGGAAACUGGGGCUAAUACCGGAUAGGAGCUCCUGCUGCAUGGUGGGGGUUGGAAAGUUUCGGCGGUUGGGGAUGGACUCGCGGCUUAUCAGCUUGUUGGUGGGGUAGUGGCUUACCAAGGCUUUGACGGGUAGCCGGCCUGAGAGGGUGACCGGCCACAUUGGGACUGAGAUACGGCCCAGACUCCUACGGGAGGCAGCAGUGGGGAAUAUUGCACAAUGGGCGGAAGCCUGAUGCAGCAACGCCGCGUGCGGGAUGACGGCCUUCGGGUUGUAAACCGCUUUCGCCUGUGACGAAGCGUGAGUGACGGUAAUGGGUAAAGAAGCACCGGCUAACUACGUG